rnacentral:rRNA from 1 species
GACGAACGCUGGCGGCGUGCCUAAUACAUGCAAGUCGAACGCAGUGGGGACGGGUGAGUAACACGUUGGUAACCUCCCAUCAGAGGGGAUAACACUUGGAAACAGGUGCUAAACCGAUACUGAUGGAUGAACCCGCGGUGCAUUAGCUAGUUGGUGAGGUAACGGCUCCCAAAGGCCACGAUGCAUAGCCGACGUGAGAGGGUGAUCGGCCAAACUGGGACUGAGACACGGCCCAGAGUCCUACGCGAGUACGCAGUAGGGAAGUGUAGGCAAUGGACGAAAGUCUGACCGAGAAACGCCGCGUGAGUGAAGAAGGUUUUCGGAUCGUAAAACUCUGUUGUUAGAGAAGCGGUAUCUAACCAGAAAGCCACGGCUAACUACGUGCCAGCAGCCGCGGUAAUAC